CGAUAUCAGGGUAUCAAAAACAAAAGCUAUCAUACUUGUAUGAUUGCGCUUUUGUUUUUGAUACCCGUCAAACAUGAGGAAGUAGCGAUUUGCAAGGCAAAUCUGCGAAUUCUGAAUGUUUGUAGAAUUGCGAGAGCAGCGUAGCUGCGGAACAAUUCGUAGGCAUCG
rfam:Firmicutes bacterium CAG:194 genomic scaffold, scf69